UACGUAGGGGGCAAGCGUUGUCCGGAUUUAUUGGGCGUAAAGAGCGUGUAGGCGGCUUUACAGGUCCGUUGUGAAAACUCGAGGCUCAACCUCGAGACGCCGGUGGAAACCGUAAGGCUAGAGUCCGGAAGAGGAGAGUGGAAUUCCUGGUGUAGCGGUGAAAUGCGCAGAUAUCAGGAGGAACACCCGUGGCGAAAGGCGGGCUCCUC
rnacentral:rRNA from 1 species